UAAUCACUUGUCCUCUAAAUAGGGACCAGUAUGAACGGCUAAAUGAGGGCCUAACUGUCUCCUAUGGCCAAUCAAUGAAACUGAUCUUCCAGUAAAAAAGCUGGAAUAAACCCACAAGACGAGAAGACCCUGUGGAGCUUUAAACUAAUAUACUACCACAUCAACCCUUAUACCAAAAUGGUUCAAUAGUAAAAAUAAUAGUGUAAAUUUUAAGUUGGGGCAACUACGGAACAAAAAAAACCUUCCAUGCAGCAGGAUAUAUUAUCCAUUAAAGGACUACAAACCAAAAAUAUUUUAUAUAAACGACCCAGUAACACUGAACAGCGAACCAAGUUACCCCAGGGAUAACAGCGCCAUCCUCUUCUAGAGUUCCCAUCGCCAAGAGGGUUUACGACCUCGAUGUUGGAUCAGGGCCCCCAGGCGGUGCAGCCGCUGCCAACGGUUCGUUUGUUCAACGAUUAAUGCCCUACGUGAUCU
rnacentral:rRNA from 1 species